UGCUCAACUUGGUUGGUUCCUUCAAUCUCUGCGCCAUGAAUGUUGCGUGGUAUUGUGAUAAAUUGUUAAAGGAGCUCUACUUAAUCAGAUUAGCAAAACAAAAACGAUGCCCCUUUAGGAACUGAAAAUUUACAACAGUGUUCACUUCUCCCCUUCGGUUGGGUUUGAAUCUUGGUGUACCCAUCGUCGUUAAUCUGCAGUGGCCAAGGUAGUAAAAUACUGCCAUUUGGUUAUGCCUAAGAUAGAAAGAUUGUAUUGGUUCGUUGGUUGGACGUGCAAUGUGCUAAUCUAUAGAGUUUCGGGUUGAUUUGGUCAAUUUAGUGCCUCCUGUUAUUGUUCUGUUUGAUAGAUUAGCUCAAAGAUUAUAGUUCUAUUUUUCAUAUUUUUCCUAUCCUUUUAGUUACUGAUGCUAUGAUAGCACCAUUGUUUCUGCCAUGAUUAGGGUUAUCAGUGUAUGCUUGUAUUUUGACUAAUGAGAUGAUGGCAUAGUGUAUCUGCAUCACUACUGCUUUUACUUCUGAACUUCUUUAUAAAAAAAUUAAUGAAGUAAAGUUUUCCAACGUAAUAUCCUUCAUAUUCUUCAUGCAGUGUUUUCUCCAUUGCAACACUUCAAGCACCAGAAAAGGCUACAGGAUACAGUAUGAGUAUCUUGAAUUCUCAGCACUAUUUCUGCUGGAAACAUGUGUAACAAUGUUUUGCUACACCUCUAUAACAGGAAUGGUGUUUUGGUCACAAUACAAGAAACUUUUCUGUUAGCCUUUCCCCCAGAAGGUUCCAAUAACAGUAGCUACAGGACUUGUGGACUAUACCCUUUGACUUUUGCUGAUGGAAUCUGUACUUUAUUUCUUUUUCUUAAAAUUUAUGGUGGCCUCAUGUGCCAGAUGACUGUCCAAGUUAUAUUCAUCUCAAAUUUGCAACAUAUUCUGCAUUUACCAGCUUAUGCAUCUGUUGAUUCCGAGUGUAUGAUGCUGUGAUUGGAUUGGUUUACAGCAUCUUCUGAGUAUGACCCAAAUUGCAUAUAAGCAGUGCAAAGUCUACACCCUGUCAAUUUUCUCUUGAUGC